rnacentral:rRNA from 1 species
CAAAAACAUCGCCUCUUGCUCAGUUAUAAGAGGUCCAGCCUGCCCAGUGACUUUGUUCAACGGCCGCGGUAUCCUAACCGUGCGAAGGUAGCGUAAUCACUUGUUCUUUAAAUGAGGACUAGUAUGAAUGGCCCCACGAGGGCUACACUGUCUCCUUUUUCUAAUCAAUGAAACUAAUCUCCCCGUGAAGAAGCGGGGAUGACCUUAUAAGACGAGAAGACCCUAUGGAGCUUUAAACAACUGAAACAUUUGCUUUUCUCUCAGCCCCUCCAGAGCUCUUUAUUUUACUUAAGCAUUUUAUUUCUAGUUUUAGGUUGGGGUGACCACGGAGCAAAACUAAGCCUCCAUGAAGAAAUGAACAUUUUUUAAGCCACAAACUACUUUUUUAAGCAUCAACAAAUUGACCUUCAUUGACCCAAUAUAUUGAUCAACGAACCAAGUUACCCUAGGGAUAACAGCGCAAUCUACUUCAAGAGCUCAUAUCGACAAGUAGGUUUACGACCUCGAUGUUGGAUCAGGGUAUCCUAGUGGUGCAGCCGCUACUAACGGUUCGUUUGUUCAACGAUUAAAACCCUACGUGAUCU